rnacentral:lncRNA from 1 species
CCCAAGAGGUGGAGGUUGCAGUGAGGCGAGAUUGCACCACUGCACUCCAGCCUGGGCAACAGAGCGAGACUUGGUCUACACGCUUUGUAAUCUAAAACAUUCUCUACCAAUACCUCAAUCAGUGAAUUCUUGCUUUAUUGAUACAUUCUAGUAUUCAGUUGUGAUUUUAAUAUGCUAUUUUGGUACUUUCUGCUUUCAGUUUUCAUUGCUGUGGCUAUUGCCUUAAACAGAAACAAAAAACUAAAACAAUUUUACAACCAUCCAAAAGAGGCUUGGAAACUUUUUUUUGGCUGGAUAUCCAUAGCACAAUUUAAUUCAGUAAACAUAAACAGUUAAAAUUAUUCCAGUACACAACCAUGUUUUAAAAAAGAGAUUACACCCAAUUUUGGCAACAACACCCAGGAAAUAAGCAUUCUUUUACAUUUGGUUCAAACUUUCUGAAUGGCAGUUGUGCAACACUUGUUGUGAAAAACUUUAGAAUAUUAUAAACAUGUUAAUCCUGUAUUUCCAUUUCUGUGAAUUCAUCCAAAAGAAAUAACCAUGGAUAUGGGUAGAGACAGAGCCAUAUGGAAUGCACACUGCAGUGGUGAACACAUGGCCCAGCUCUGCCAUCAAGGAGAAGGAACAUGAAUGGAGCUGGAGGCCAUCAUCCUUAGUGAACUAACACAGGAGCAGAAAACCAAAUACCACAUGUUCUCAUGUGUAAGUGGGAGCUAAAUGAUGAGAACACAUGGACACAAAGAGGGGAACAACAGACACUGAAGCCUCCUUGAGGGAGGAGGGUAAGAGGAAGGAGAAGAUCAGAAAAGAUAACUACCAGGUACUAUGGUAGCUUAGUACCUGGGUGAUGAAAUAAUCUGUACACCCAACCCUCAUGACAGAAGUUUACCUGUGUAACAAACCUGCACAUGUAUCCCUGAAACUAAAAGUUUUUUAAAAAGUUAUUUAAUAUAUAUAUAUUUUUUUGAGACGGAGUUUUGCUCUUGUUGCCCAGGCUGGAGUGCGGUGGCGCAAUUUCGGCUCACCACAACCUCCGCCUCCCAGGUUCAAGCUAUUCCCCUGCCUCAGCCUCCCUAGUAGCUGGGAUUACAGGCUUGUGCCACCACGCCGGCUAAUUUUGUAUUUUUUGUAGAGACGGGGUUUCUCCAUGUUGGUCAGGCUGGUCUCGAACUCCCGACCUCAGGUGAUCCACCCCCCUCGGCCUCCCAAAGUGCUAGGAUUACAGGCAUGAGCCACUGCGCCCGGCAAAAAGUUAUUUAAUAUUAAUGGGACAAUACUCAUUGCAAGAAUCAGACUUCAAUUGCUAGCAUAAGUAAAUGACAGGCAGGAGAUAUUGAAAAUGCAAUCUUAUAGACAUUCAAGGAGAGGACGCAGGACAUUUCUGUGUCAUAAAUGUACUAUGGAAAAUAAAAAUGAGAAAAAUGGAAAUAAAAUACAAGAAAAGGUUA